rnacentral:tRNA from 1 species
UAAGGGUUAGUUUAAGAAAAACCUUUCGAUGUCAACGAAAUAAUUCCAAUAAUUAAUGGAGUCCUUAA